CGGAUUGAAGGCUGAAAUUCGCCUUCCAUGAAGCUGGAAUUGCUAGUAAUGGCAGGUCAGCAUACUGCCGUGAAUACGUUCCCGGGCCUUGUACACACCGCCCGUCACACCAUGAGAGUUGGAAAUACCCGAAGCCUGUGAGCUAACUUAAGGAGGCAGCAGUCGAAGGUAGAGCCAAUGAUUGGGGUGAAGUCGUAACAAGGUACC
rnacentral:rRNA from 1 species